ACAGGGUUUUACCACGUUGCCCAUACUGGUCUCAAACUCUUGACCUCAGGUGAUCCGCCCACCUCAGCCUCCCAAAGUGCUGGGAUUGCAGGUGUGAACCACCGCGCCCGGCCAGGUCACCCUCUUUUAAGAUCUAACAUCUCAGACGGGAAAAAUACUUUGUACGAAAGAAGGCAGGCUUAUGUUCAUAUGUUGCUUUGCCUUGAAGCCUGAAGGGGAUGAAUGGGGACAAGCAAGACAGAAGCACAUGGCAUGCAGAUGCUGGGAAAAUGCUUUGCAGGGGCGUGAGGCGUGCUCACUGGCCUGUGAUCAGGACUGAGAGCUGUCACAGCAGCCCACUGUGCCUUCUAAUUGCUGAACUUAUUUGGGGAAGCCUGUUGAUUUGAGUGUAGAACGGGCAGUCCAUUUUUUCUUGAUGCCUUGGAAAGAACAGGCCCCAAGUUAAAUGUAGGAGACAGACUUGCAGGAGGAAAUAACUAUUUUUACUUUUCCUCUUUGUGGUCUCUGAAAUAGCAGCUGUUCCUCUUUCCAUUGAGGAACAUUGGGAGUAUUUCUCAUUUAUAUAUCUCAUUGAUUUCCCUCAAUCAUGAUGCUAGUAAGAGAAAGUAUUGCUAUUUCAAUGACAUUAGAAUCCCAUGUGGUUUUAAAAACAAAUGCUUUAAGUGAUGAAAUGAAUAUGUGUGUCCUAUUUUGAAGGGAUUUUUGAAAGGAUGGCCUGCAUCUCGGUAAUAUAUAUGAUUUCUGCAUCCUAAAAGACUAUGUCUUCAAACCUAUUUGUGCUUUCAUUUAGGUGUUUACUGAUUGGGUCAUGUUGGACCCUGUGAGGAGACAGGCAUUUUUCUGGAUACUGGCAAUAAACGUGCAGUCCUGAUCUAAAAUAUAGCCUAGCAAGAGAAGUACAUGUUUACGCAGAUAAUUCUAAUAUAGUAUGCUGCAUUGAAACAGUCAAGUAUUUGAACUAUGGGCAAGCAGUUCUGUCAUGUCCCCUUCUGUGCUUGUCUAUUUUAAGACUACUAAGUUCAGAUUCCUAACCUUUGUGUUUAAAAACCACAUGGCUCUGGGAGGCUGUUUGCAUGUCAUUCCCCUGGGUUAUCCCUUUGUUCCAUUCUUGCUACAAGCAUAUUUGUGUAGAGUAACUCAACCGUUGAAAGCAAGAUGUGCACUCUUAGGCAGAUAACAAUCAACGUUUAAAAUAACAUCACUUCUUCUAUAGAUUUCUCCAGGCACACAAAGCAUGGUGACUACUCAGAUUAAUUGGAGGAGAAAGAAUACUGGAGAGACGAGGCCCUCCAACACCAUCGUGCUCAUGCUCAAGGUCAUCAGGAUGGAGAACAGUAAUGGAGAAUCUGGUGUUUUCCCACCUGGCUCCCUUGUGUAGAUUCUUGUUGAGAAGCAGAGCUGUCGGCCACCUCCUGCUUGAGUCCAGUGAAGGCCACUUUAGUGUUUGGCCCAAACCCGGUGUGGAAUGAAGUUGGGCACACAGACCAAAGAGCCAGCUCCAGUUUAUUCCAAACUACCAAAUCAUUUGUCCUUCAGAGUUUCCUGCAUUUUGGAUAUUGCUGGUUGUCUCCUCAUGGUGUAACAUGUUCCUAUAUGCCCUGGAUUUCCUGUAAACUAGUACAACUAAAUCAAGAAGCAUGAUCUGAUUCAGAACAAAAUACAUUUCUGUGUCAAGUUAUGAAGAUCAGCACACAAAGGAAGAAAUGUGAGCACAUUGUGAGAAUCCACGAAGAGAUCUGAUGAAGGCUUUGGUUGAGUGGAUCAGCUGUGUGUUGGAUGCAACCACAGGUCAGAGGAGACGGGGCAGUCUGCCUUCGGAUGGCAUGUACUUUGGUGUGCUGCCUGGAACUGGAACCAUUACUUUUGUUGAUAAGACACCAAGAGAUUUAACUGAGGAUGAGUUUGUGGUGCUUUUAAGGAUGGACCCACUUGAGAUCCAUAUCCUGUGACUAGUCCGAACAGAAAGUAUGCAUUUAGGAUCUUGUGGAUCUUCUGUGAAAGGACACUGCACUGUGUGAUAGCCACAGAGUUUGCCCUGGAGUCUGCAUUUCUGUGGCAAGCAAUAGGCUGGAGCGAGUCCACUAUGUAAGACAAAGAAAAAGAUUCCAAAAGACAUCUGUGAUGUUACACAGUUUGGUCCGGGUUAUUCUCUAUCAUCUAUUUUCUAUCAUCAAUUUCUUUUUUCUUUCUUUCUUUUUUUUUUUUUUUUUUAAGAUGGGGUCUCGCUCUGUCACCA